AAUAAACGCUGGCGGCGUGCUUAACACAUGCAAGUCGAACGCGAAAGUUUCUUCGGAAACGAGUAGAGUGGCGAACGGGUGAGUAACGCGUGAGAAUCUGCCCUUGAGUGAAGGAUACCAUCGAGAAAUCGAUGUUAAUACUGCAUAUCUUUGUAAAAAGAAAGGUGGCCUAAAAGCUGCCGCUAAAGGAUGAGCUUGCGUGCUAUUAGCUAGUUGGUGGGGUAAAGGCCUACCAAGGCUAUGAUGGCUAGCCGGCCUGAGAGGGUGUACGGCCACAUUGGAACUGAGAAACGGUCCAGACUCCUACGGGAGGCAGCAGUGAGGAAUAUUGCACAAUGGGCGAAAGCCUGAUGCAGCGACGCCGCGUGGAGGAUGAAGGUCUUAGGAUUGUAAACUCCUAGUUAAAACGGGAAAAAGAAUUCUUCUGAAUAGGAAAGAAGAGAUGAUUGUACUGUUAAGAGAAAG
rnacentral:rRNA from 1 species